CCCUUAGAUGUUCUGGGCCGCACGCGCGCUACACUGAUGAAUGCAACGAGCUCUACCCUUGACCGAAAGGCCCGGGUAAACUUGUGAAACUUCAUCGUGAUGGGGAUAGAUUAUUGCAAUUAUUAAUCUUCAACGAGGAAUUCCUAGUAAGCGCGAGUCAUCAGCUCGCGUUGAUUACGUCCCUGCCCUUUGUACACACCGCCCGUCGCUCCUACCGAUUGAAUGGUCCGGUGAAAUCUUCGGAUUGCUGACCAAGAUCCAGCAAUGGAGCUUGGUUGCGAGAAGUUGAUUAAACCUUAUUAUUUAGAGGAAGGAGAAGGCGUAACA
rnacentral:rRNA from 1 species